rnacentral:rRNA from 1 species
AUUGAACGCUGGCGGCAGGUCUAACACAUGCAAGUCGAACGGUAACAGGAAACAGCUUGCUGUUUCGCUGACGAGUGGCGGACGGGUGAGUAAUGUCUGGGAAACUGCCUGAUGGAGGGGGAUAACUACUGGAAACGGUAGCUAAUACCGCAUAACGUCGCAAGACCAAAGAGGGGGACCUUCGGGCCUCUUGCCAUCGGAUGUGCCCAGAUGGGAUUAGCUAGUAGGUGGGGUAACGGCUCACCUAGGCGACGAUCCCUAGCUGGUCUGAGAGGAUGACCAGCCACACUGGAACUGAGACACGGUCCAGACUCCUACGGGAGGCAGCAGUGGGGAAUAUUGCACAAUGGGCGCAAGCCUGAUGCAGCCAUGCCGCGUGUAUGAAGAAGGCCUUCGGGUUGUAAAGUACUUUCAGCGGGGAGGAAGGGAGUAAAGUUAAUACCUUUACUCAUUGACGUUACCCGCAGAAGAAGCACCGGCUAACUCCGUG